GUGCUCAUGUCAGCAGCACAUACACUAAAAUUGGAACAAUACAGAGAUUAUCAUGGCCCUGUGCAAUGAAGACGCACAAAUUCAUGAAGCAUGCCAUAUAUAC